AGUGAACGCUGGCGGCAGGCCUAACACAUGCAAGUCGAACGGCAGCACAGAGGAGCUUGCUCCUUGGGUGGCGAGUGGCGGACGGGUGAGGAAUGCGUCGGAAUCUGCCUUUUUGUGGGGGAUAACGUAGGGAAACUUACGCUAAUACCGCAUACGACCUACGGGUGAAAGUGGGGGACCGCAAGGCCUCACGCAGAAAGAUGAGCCGACGCCGGAUUAGCUAGUUGGCGGGGUAAAGGCCCACCAAGGCGACGAUCCGUAGCUGGUCUGAGAGGAUGAUCAGCCACACUGGGACUGAGACACGGCCCAGACUCCUACGGGAGGCAGCAGUGGGGAAUAUUGGACAAUGGGCGCAAGCCUGAUCCAGCCAUGCCGCGUGUGUGAAGAAGGCCUUCGGGUUGUAAAGCACUUUUGUCCGGAAAGAAAAGCUUCGGGUUAAUAACCUGGGGUCAUGACGGUACCGGAAGAAUAAGCACCGGCUAACUUCGUGCCAGCAGCCGCGGUAAGAC
rnacentral:rRNA from 1 species